UCUUCUCUUCUCCCCCAUCCUCAGCCCCAGGGUUUUGGGGCGGCUACGUGGGGCGUCCCUACCUUGAGCCGGUGCAGUUGCCCGCAGCCCGGAAUCCAUGGUCACUGUGGCGAGGCGGGAGGACGCGGGCGGCAUCUAGCCCCCCCAGUCGCACGUGCUGCGGCUCCGUGCCCGGCCCUGCCUCCUGGCCCUGUGAAGUUGGGGGCGGUACCCCGUCACUCCCCCUGUGCCGCCGCCGUUUCCAAGGGGUCAGAAACCGCUGUGUUUGUGUCGUCCGCAGAGCCGGGCUCCGUGGUGCGGGCGUUGUGCCUGGCCGGCCGGAGGCGAGCGUGACGCAUCAGCCGGAGACCCGUGCCAGGGCUGUGAGCGGCUGCUGGGGAGACAGACUCGCUUUCUCUUUCAGCAUGCCUUUUUCAAAGUGCUCCGUGGUGCCGCUGCCUUAAGCCCUAGGGGAAGACCCUACUGCCUCUGCACCGGUGCUUAUGGUCGCCACUGUUAUUCUGAAUCAAGUACCUUGUCAUUGAGCUACCCUAUAAAAAUGCCUUAAGAAAGAGCCAUGGAGAAGUAUGUUAGACUACAGAAGAUUGGAGAAGGCUCAUUUGGAAAAGCUGUUCUUGUUAAGUUCACGGAGGAUGGCAGGCAUUAUGUUAUCAAGGAAAUUAACAUUUCAAGGAUGUCCGGCAAAGAACGGCAGGAAUCAAGGAGAGAAGUUGCAGUGUUGGCAAACAUGAAGCAUCCAAAUAUUGUCCAAUAUAAAGAAUCCUUUGAAG